ACCCUGACCAUCAGCCCAGGGGUGGUUUUGCAGUGAACUAGGCCCUUCCACAUCUACCAUCAAUCAAGAAAGUGCUUUACAGGCUUGCCAACAGAUCCUUCUUACUUCUGUUCAUACUGGAGGGAUGCUGGAUGCUGCCUGUGAGUCUCUAAAACUGAACCAAAUGUUCAAUAACAACAAACAGUUAAGAAGGCAUGUUCGUUCCAAACUCAUUCAUUUAAAAGUGACAAAAUAAUGCAAAAUAAAUAAAUGAAUAUAU